rnacentral:rRNA from 1 species
AACGGACGCUGGCGGCAGGCUUAACACAUGCAAGUCGAGCGCCCCGCAAGGGGAGCGGCAGACGGGUGAGUAACACGUGGGAACGUGCCCAAAGGUACGGAACAACUCCGGGAAACUGGAGCUAAUACCGUAUGUGCCCUUCGGGGGAAAGAUUUAUCGCCUUUGGAUCGGCCCGCGUCUGAUUAGCUAGUUGGUGGGGUAAUGGCCUACCAAGGCGACGAUCAGUAGCUGGUCUGAGAGGAUGAUCAGCCACACUGGGACUGAGACACGGCCCAGACUCCUACGGGAGGCAGCAGUGGGGAAUAUUGGACAAUGGGCGCAAGCCUGAUCCAGCCAUGCCGCGUGAGUGAUGAAGGCCUUAGGGUUGUAAAGCUCUUUCACCGAUGAAGAUAAUGACGGUAGUCGGAGAAGAAGCCCCGGCUAACUUCGUGCCAGCCGCCGCCGUAACAC